ensembl:lncRNA novel transcript
GGGCUUUAAGACGAAAUGAGAGACAGUGUUGGUGGAAGAAGAGAACUUAAGGCCAGAAGUUGUGUGUGUGUGUGUGUGUGUGUGUGUAUAAUUAUGCCUGAAUAUGUUUUAUUUAUUAUAGUCUAUGUGUGAUUUUGUAUUUGAAAGUAGAUGCUUGAUUCUACCACAAUUAAAAAAAGGAUAUGCUUGGAUUUGUCUGUAGUAUGUGGGUGUGGAGGAGUUCAUUUGAACACGGGCAUUUUUGUGUGUCCAGGACGUAUCAACAGCCUCCUUAGAGGUGUCAUAUGUGCAGGGAAUACUGAAGAGAGUGCAUUAGUCUACAUGUCUCUCUAUAUAUUUUUUCUUUUUGUGUGUGUCUGGUUUUCCUAGAUUUCUCUCUUGCAUGUUUGUGGGUAUGAGAGUCUGUUAGUAUUAAUAUGUGAAUGGGUGUGUGCUAUUUGUCUGGGGAGGAUGAUUUAGGCAAGGAUUUGAAAGUGUGCAUUUAGAAAUUGAGGGCAUCUCUGUGUUAUUAUGAGUGUAUGUGUGUUUGUGUGUGCAUUUUAGAGUGGUUGGUUAUCUGUGUGUAUUUGCAAGGAGAAGGGGAAUUCAGUGUGUUUCUGUGUUUGUGUGUUUGUUUGUGAAUGGUAUGUUUUGCAGAGGAGUGUACUUUUUAUGUUCGAAAGUUAGGCAAUCAUGUAAUUUAUCAUCCAAAUGGGGAUACAUUUGAGAAUGAAAUAUAUAUGUGUGUGAAAGGAUGUCUUUGAAUGUACUUUUAAAAAUGCAUUUAAUUUUGUGUGUGUUAUUGGUGUCAGGAAUUAAGAAAAAGAAGAGAAGUACAGGAGAUAUCAUUAAAUUAUAUAGUUCUCUCUUCGACUGUAGCCUUAUAACAGGGACAUUAAUAGAAUUAACAGGUGGAAUCUAAUUGUCUCCCUUGGAAUCUGGGAUGGCUGUCCUACUUAUUUGACCAACAGAAUUUGUCAGAAGGGACUUUCUGUAACUUCUGAAGCUGUCUCAUAAGAAGCCUUGCAGAUUCUGCUCAUGUCUCUUUCCUCUCUGGGAAACAAGUCGCGACUCAGGGAUAAGCCUGAGACACAUGGAGAGAACAUCCUGAUCAAUCUGGUCUUUGCUGCUACCCUGGUCAACAGCCUGAGCUGGAUACCUGGCUGACAAGUACCACCUUUUUCCUACACAGAUGACAACCCAGCCCAUGAGCACCAGGGUCAUAGCUCAGCUAUCCAGGUGGCUUUGGUUUUGUGGCUCCACUUUCUCAACAUGAAACUCCAAUAGAGGAAGAAGGAAACAUGUGACCUGGAGAGUUGAAGUGGGUAUUGGAGACUGCUGCAUCAGCAGGGAAAUGCUUUAUAUCCUCAAAUGACAUGUGCUUCUCCUGACAGCUCAUUGACCAGAAUUAGCAACAUGGCCCUUCCUAACUAGAAGGGACCAGAAUGGAUAGUCCUUCUAUGUGUCCAGAAGGAGAGAAGGACCAGAUAUGUGUGAUCAUGUCUCCAUUAUGGGAGAAAAGAGAAUUGAAAAAGAAAGAAGAUCCACAUAGUGUCUGAGGAGCUGAGACAAAAGAAAAGUAAGUCAUCUCAUUGAGUCUCAGUUUCUUCAUCUCUCAAAGAAAGAUGAACAUACCCACUGCACUAAGGGUGUCAUGAAGAUUACAUUAGAAAAAUGCACAUGAUAUCUUUAAAUCUCUUUGCCAAUAGCAAGACAUUUUUAAAAAUGAAAUACUGUUUUAUGAUUGGUGGUUGUUUUACUAUGAAACCAUAAAAUGCUAGAUUUCAUGGGGGUAUACAAGACUUUCUCUGGUAUAGCCUUCCCUUUGGUACGAAAUUUUUUUUCCUAUUUUUUUAAAGCAACCCUAUUAGCUGAAGGUACAAGAAUUUUCAUUACAGAAGAUCCUAAAUGAGAGCAAUGAUCAGAAUUAGCUGGAAAGCCACACACAUGCACAACCUGAUUCAGAAGGAUCAGAGAAGGUUAUUUGCCCCCUUGCAGAUCUAGGGGGCCUGGGGCUUUUACAUGAGCCCCAAAGGAUGCACCAGAUAGAAAAUUGGCAGGAUGACUGGAAAUUUUCAAAAUGCACAGGUCAGUUGCAAAUAAUCUGAUGCUGUUUUUGGGAAACUGCAGGCUAAAAAUAGCCAUGGUUUUCCUGGAUGAGGCAUUAGUUUGAUGUUGGCCUUUGUAACCUGUAUGUUUUUGCCAUCUCUGCUCAGUUCCAAUCAUUUUUACUUCCUUUCACUUUGUGUACCUAUAAGAUUCAGAGUUGUAUUAGAAACAUUCAUACUUUCUUUCAUUGAUAUAUUUAUUCACAUAUCAUUUAUUCACUCAUUCAUUUAUCCAUAUAUCCUUUGCUUUCUUUCCAUGACUUCAUCAAGUUUCUUAUUUAGAGUAUAAACAUUUAUUGAUCACUUUGUUUUCUCUGGGCACUGUAUUAGGCACCAGAGAUUCUAAAGGUGGGGGGAAACAAACUAAACAACAACAACAGCAACAACAACAACAAAUCCUCACAAAAUAACAUGUGCAAUGUCGUGGGGGUGCAGACAAGCACUCAUAAUUACAACAAAUAAUGCAGAGUGCAGUAGGAGUUCAGAAUUUCAACUAGCUUGAGAGUAGAGUGGUACAAGAAGGUUUCUUAGAGGAAGUGGCAGUUGAAGUAAUUCCUGAAGGUAUUGUUCAAGUGGGGAGGGUGGGAAGGGCAUCCUAGGUAAAAGGAACAACAUUUAUGUUGUAAUGAAGCCAAGUUGAAAAGAAAGCCACGUGCAGGCAAGCAAAGCAUGUUUGCCAGAUCUGCAGUUAUUCUAGGAGGCUCUUGUUUAAUGUGUGCCUGAUAUUGUGGAUUUAAUCACUACCUCACAAAUUAUUCUUCAAGAUUCAACUUGAUCAUUUAAACACAGACUCUAACAGAGUUUCUGACUCACACUAGGCACUAGAAAAAUCUUAUUUCUGAACUCUUUGCUGUUGCGUUUUCCCCCUUACCAGUCCCACAGUGCCUUGCAGAAAGUAGCCAUUCAAUGAAGUUACCUCCAAUUUAAUCCUAUCCCUCUCCGCCCAGUCCCAGUUUAACUUCCUUUUCCACCUACAAAGACCCUGAGGGCCAGAAAGAGGGCAGCCUCUUCCCAAGGCCUCCUUGUCUUUUUCUGCUUGAGGAAAUAGCUUGUGGUGUCUCCUUGGCUGUCUGUUUCUCCGCCUCUGGGGAAUCUCCUCUCAUGUAAAUCCUGCAAUUAGAGGCUCUCACCCCCACCACCAGAGCUACAUCUGCCUCCCUAGAUAGGCACCCACUUGAUUAGGAAGAGAUAAUCACAGGGGCUGCUUCAGCCUACAGCUUGGUGAAGACAGGAAGAAAUUCUGAUUAAAUUUGUGGUUUCAAGAGAAGGGCUCCCCCUCUCUCAUCACAUACCAGCUUCCUGUCUGCCUAUACAUUUGGACUCAAGGCGCAAAAUUUUGAUUCGUCAUUUAUUUUUUCAAAAACCAUAGAAAUUAGGCAAUAAAUAGGAAUAUACCUCUUUGGUAGAUGAAGAAUGUGAGCUGUGAGAGAUGAAGCAUUUGACUUAGGUCAUAAUGUUGAUUGCCUAGCAGAGACUUUGGAUUCGAUCACUGAUUAGUUUUAUAUCCUCCAUAAGAGAAAGCAAGAGAAAGUAAGCAAAGCAUUUUUUUCCCUUGAGAUGAUCUAAUUUUGACUUCUGUAUGGGUGUGUGUUUGUACUUAUAUAUAUUAUUAAUUCAAAUUAUAUAUUCAACUUAACUUUUAGAAACAUUAGAAAUAUGUGCAGAAUGUAAGAAAUGCAUAAAGUAGAGGAAAGCCUAAGGAAGAAGCCAAAGUCAUUCAUUAUAUCCAGAGAUACUUCCUGGUUGAUAUAUGACGUGUGUAUGUGUCUAUAUAAAAUGUCUACAUAAUCAGAAUUAUAAUACACAUGUGCACAUAUAGUUAUUUUCUAACUACAUUUUGUAUUGUAA